AUGAGAUGAAAUCAGCGUUUUGACAUGCGAUUCCACACUGAUUUCAUCUCAUGA
rfam:Solanum tuberosum cultivar DM 1-3 516 R44 scf00058_141, whole genome shotgun sequence.